ensembl:lncRNA
GCGGGGGGCUGCGGGGGGGCAACGUGGGGCUGCGGCGGGCUGCGGGGUCGGAAGCUUCAUCCGUUGUCGCGUGGAAGCAGCGGUGUGUUUGCUUCGUGGUUUGAAACAGUUCCUGACAGGAAACGUGCUGUCAGCUUGGCUUGAGUCGCUUAUUAACCUGUCCUGUUCCUUUGACCCUAUACCCAUUGAUCCUAUACCCUUUGACCCGUUGACCCUAUACCCUUUGACCCGUUGACCCUAUACCCAUUGAUCCUAUACCCUUUGACCCGUUGACCCUAUACCCUUUGACCCGUUGACCCUAUACCCAUUGAUCCUAUACCCUUUGACCCGUUGACCCUAUACCCUUUGACCCGCUACCCUUUGACCCAUUGACCCUAUACCCAUUGACCCUAUACCCUUUGACCCGUUGACCCUAUACCCUUUGACCCUAUACCCUUUGACCCUAUACCCUUUGACCCGUUGACCCAUCAGCGAGACCUGGACACCGGCUCUCAUAUGGACCCAGUGGGUCACUUGUGACUGAUGUUGUCAGUGUGACUGGACAUUGAAUCCCUCACAACAUUCGACCUUUUGUGUAUAACGAUGUAAAUACAUGUUUGCUUCCCAUGAGCUAAAACGUCACGUUCUCUACCUUUUAUAUCAGAUGGAAUCAGGCAACAUUUACUGCCAUAAUAUGUCAGAAAUACAAGGAAUCUCACUUGGUUGGUGCCAACAAGACAACAGUGCACGAGGAAUCAAAAAUAAUGCUGUGGGUCAGUAGUACAAGGCUAUGGGUUAGUAAUAUAAGGCUAUGGGUUAGUAGUAUAAUGCUAUGGAUUAGUAGUAUAAGGCUAUGGGUUAGUAGUAUAAGGCUAUGGGUUAGUAGUAUAAUGCUAUGGGUUAGUAAUAUAAGGCUAUGGGUUAGUAGUAUAAGGCUAUGGGUUAGUAGUAUAAGGCUAUGGGUUAGUAAUACAAGGCUAUGGGUUAGUAGUAUAAUGCUAUGGAUUAGUAGUAUAAGGCUAUGGGUUAGUAGUAUAAGGCUAUGGGUUAGUAGUACAAGGCUAUGGGUUAGUAAUACAAGGCUAUGGGUUAGUAAUAUAAGGCUGUGGGUUAGUAAUACAAGGCUAUGGGUUAGUAAUAUAAGGCUAUGGGUUAGUAGUAUAAUGCUAUGGGUUAGUAGUACAAGGCCAUGGGUUAGUAAUACAAGGCUAUGGGUUAGUAAUAUAAGGCUAUGGGUUAGUAGUAUAAGGCUAUGGGUUAGUAAUAUAAGGC